ensembl:lncRNA
UUUCUGGAUGUUCUUGUGUAUUACUUGAGAAUACACGGGGAUAUUCUCACUGAGUAUUUUUCUGAAGUGUAGUAUUUGGGGAGAUUUACCUCAGUGAAUCUAGAUUACUAUUUUAGAUUAAAUCAGGAAUGCACUUCUGAAGUAAACUAUCCACAUUACUGGAGUUCCUGCAAUAGGUUGGACACUUGCAAACCUUGACAGCGAACAGCAGAGAAGAUUGGAGUGGAAGCUGAAAAGAAGCAAUUCACCCUAAUCUAAGUUCACUGAGAAAGCUUCCAAUCUGUGAUGCCCUCAACAAAACCCAGGUAUCUGAAACAAGGUCAGAUUCUUCCAAAGUGCUGUUGUAUGUUUGGACUUUGUUACUUCCACACUCCAGGGAGUGUCUGAUUCCUGUCACUGUUACCCCUUUUUCCUUCGAACUUCCUCCAAGAAGUAAAUAUAUGUUUAGCUUGGUAGUAAGCUAGGACGAGAACAUUUGUAUUUAGAUUUGAAUCAAAUCCUAACCUGUAUUGGCUGAAGCCAAACAAUACUUUUUUUCUGUUAGUAUCUGCCAACUCAGUAUCAUCUGAAUCUGAAGCUUCCUAGUAUUUAAUGCUUAGUACUUAUGUCCAGUUUUUCUUGCAAUUUAAAGCAGCAAAACAUAAAUCAAACUAUGUAGACUUUUUUCUGUAUAUUGCUGCAUAUGUAUUUUUUUGCACACACUGAAUAUUCAAUAAAAAUUUCUUUUCUGUGUAGCAAGUUUUGAUGACCAUCAAAUACAGUGUUUUUGUUUAUUAAGUGUGUCAUAUAGAAGACUUGCAGCAAUAAAGCAAACUUUUUCACAG